UACGUAGGGAGCAAGCGUUGUUCGGAUUCAUUGGGCGUAAAGGGUGCGUAGGUGGCGCGCUAAGUCGGGUGUGAAAUUUCGGAGCUUAACUCCGAAACUGCAUUCGAUACUGGCGUGCUUGAGGACUGGAGAGGAGACUGGAAUUCAUGGUGUAGCAGUGAAAUGCGUAGAGAUCAUGAGGAAGACCAGUGGCGAAGGCGGGUCUCUGGACAGUUCCUGACACUGAGGCACGAAGGCCAGGGGAGCAAACGGG
rnacentral:rRNA from 1 species